rnacentral:rRNA from 1 species
AAGUCGAGCGAACUGACGAGGAGCUUGCUCCUUUGACGUUAGCGGCGGACGGGUGAGUAACACGUGGGUAACCUACCUAUAAGACUGGAAUAACUCCGGGAAACCGGGGCUAAUGCCGGAUAACAUAUCGAACCGCAUGGUUCGAUAGUGAAAGACGGUCUUGCUGUCACUUAUAGAUGGACCCGCGCCGUAUUAGCUAGUUGGUGAGGUAACGGCUCACCAAGGCAACGAUACGUAGCCGACCUGAGAGGGUGAUCGGCCACACUGGAACUGAGACACGGUCCAGACUCCUACGGGAGGCAGCAGUAGGGAAUCUUCCGCAAUGGGCGAAAGCCUGACGGAGCAACGCCGCGUGAGUGAUGAAGGUCUUCGGAUCGUAAAGCUCUGUUGUUAGGGAAGAACAAAUGUGUAAGUAACUGUGCACAUCUUGACGGUACCUAACCAGAAAGCCACGGCUAACUACGUGCCAGCAGCCGCGGUAAUACGUAGGUGGCAAGCGUUAUCCGGAAUUAUUGGGCGUAAAGCGCGCGUAGGCGGUUUUUUAAGUCUGAUGUGAAAGCCCACGGCUCAACCGUGGAGGGUCAUUGGAAACUGGAAAACUUGAGUGCAGAAGAGGAAAGUGGAAUUCCAUGUGUAGCGGUGAAAUGCGCAGAGAUAUGGAGGAACACCAGUGGCGAAGGCUGCUUUCUGGUCUGUAACUGACGCUGAUGUGCGAAAGCGUGGGGAUCAAACAGAUAGAUACCCUGGUAGUCCACCCGUAACGAUGA